AUUCCUUCGGGUAUAUCCGAUAAAAUUGGAAUAAUACACCGAAGAUUAGCAUGGCCCUGUGCAAGAAUGACACGCACAAAUCGACAAAUGGUCCAAAUUUUU
rfam:Capsicum annuum cultivar Zunla-1 chromosome 5, whole genome shotgun sequence